rnacentral:rRNA from 1 species
UAGGGAAUCUUCCGCAAUGGGCGAAAGCCUGACGGAGCAACGCCGCGUGAGUGAUGAAGGUCUUCGGAUCGUAAAACUCUGUUAGUAGGGAAGAACAAAUGUGUAAGUAACUAUGCACGUCUUGACGGUACCUAAUCAGAAAGCCACGGCUAACUACGUGCCAGCAGCCGCGGUAAUACGUAGGUGGCAAGCGUUAUCCGGAAUUAUUGGGCGUAAAGCGCGCGUAGGCGGUUUUUUAAGUCUGAUGUGAAAGCCCACGGCUCACCCGUUGAGGGUCAUUGGAAACUGGAAAACUUGAGUGCAGAAGAGGAAAGUGGAAUUCCAUGUGUAGCGGUGAAAUGCGCAGUGAUAUGGAGGAACACCAGUGGCGAAGGCGACUUUCUGGUCUGUAACUGACGCUGAUGUGCGAAAGCGUGGGGAUCAAACAGG